rnacentral:rRNA from 1 species
AGGGCGUAUGGUGGAUGCCUUGGCUUUGGAAGGCGAUGAAGGACGUGGCGUGCCUGCGAUAAGCCUCGGGGAGGUGGCGAGCAACCUUUGAUCCGGGGAUGUCCGAAUGGGGAAACCCAUUUCGGUAAAACCGAAAUGCCCUGUCUAUGACAGGGCGCGUACCCGCUGAAGUAAAACAUUUCAGUAAGCGGAGGAAAAGAAAACAACGAGAUUACCAAAUCGGUGUUCAACAGUUUUUGCUAGCAGACACCGAUUUGAUAAUCUCAAAAUUCCCCUAGUAGCGGCGAGUGAAAAGGGAACAGCCUAAACCCGCCGUGCUUUGCACGGACAUUUCGACAUAUCGAUAUAUCGAAAUUUCCGCGCAGAGCGCGGUGGGGGUUGCAAGAUAACGGCGUCAAUUUAUUUUGGGAAAGCGAAAAGUUACAUGAUUAGCAGAACGGCCCUGGAAAGGCCGGCAAAAUAGGGUGAUAGCCCCGUAUGCGAAAAUCGAUGUAUUCUUUCUGCUGUUAUUCUUAAGUACUGCCCCGUAUGGUGACUGGGCAGGAAUCCGCCAGAACUAGUCUGGCAAGGCUAAAUACUUCCAAAGACCGAUAGUGAACAAGUACCGUGAGGGAAAGGUGAAAAGCAGCCCGUUGAGGGCGGUGAAAUAGUACCUGAAACCAUAUGCUUACAAGGAGUGGGAGCCCGCAAGGGUGACCGCGUGCCUAUUGAAGAAUGAGCCAACGAGUUUUUGGGUGUUGCUUCUCUAAGCCGCGUGAGCGGCGAAGGGGUAGGGAAACCGAGUCUGAAUAGGGCGAAUCAAGACUGUGGAAUGUGGAUGGGUAGAUCGUGGUUUUACUGCAAUCUACUCGCUACGUUCUACACUCUUAAUGCAUCACUCAAAAGACCCGAAGCCAGAUGAGCUUGCCAUGGGCAGGGUGAACUUCGAGUAACAUCGGAGGGAGGCCCGAACCGGUAGGUCGUUCAACGCCUUCGGAUGACCUGUGGUAAGGAGUGAAAAGCUAAUCGAAUCUGGUAAUAGCUGGUUCUCUUCGAAAUAGCUUUAGGGCUAGCCCUUCAUAUUCCUCUCGGGGGUAGAGCUACUGGAUGGUUCGUAAGGGCGAAAGCUCGGCGAACCAAUCAAACUCCGAAUACCGAGAGUUAAAAAUGGAGGAGUCAGCAGGCGGGGGCUAAGCUCCGUCGUGCAAGAGGGGAAGAGCCCAGAUCGUCAACUAAGGUCCCUAAAUCAUAGCUAAGUGUGAAAGGAGGUGGAGUUUCUCAAACAGCGAGGAGGUUGGCUUAGAAGCAGCCAUCCUUUAAAGAGUGCGUAACAGCUCACUCGUCUAGAGACACUGCGCUUAAGAUUCAUCGGGGCUAAGCUAUGUACCGAAGUUACGGGUUUAUUUUGCUUCGGCAAAAUAAGCAGUAGAAGAGCAUUUUGAUCGCUGUGAAGAUAGACCCGUGAGGGCUAUUGGAGCGUUCAGAAGAGAGAAUGUUGGCACUAGUAACCACAAUGCCGGUGAGAUACCGGCACGCCGAAAACCCAAGGUUUCCUCCGCAAUGAAAAUCAACGGAGGGUUAGUCGGUCCUAAGGUAAUGGUGAAAACCGCAACCGAUGGACAGCUGGUUAAUAUUCCAGCACUGCCAUGUUUUUUCGAUGGGGUGACGGGGAUGAUAGACAGAGGCCUAUUAUUGGAUUUAGGUAAUCAGGUGAUUUGCGUUCUCCGGCAAAUACGGAGAAUUGGUUUAAUCCGACGCAGAUUGCGUGGUUAAAUUUUCUUCUUCGGAAGAGAAAAUUUCUGUUGAAGGUCCUCCAAGAAAAACCUCUAGAGUCAAAGAUAUGGCAACCGUACCGAAAACCGACACAGGUGGGUUGGUGGAGAACACUAAGGCGAAUGAGUGAUUCCUCGUUAAGGAACUCGGCAAAAAAGCGGCCGUAAGUUCGCAAAAUGGCCUAGCCGACGCAAGUCGGCUCGCAGUGAAAGUACCCCUGGCGACUGUUUACCAAAAACACAGCUCCCUGCUAACUCGUAAGAGGAUGUAUAGGGGGUGACGCCUGACCAAUGCGAGAAGGUUAAAGAUUCUUGUCGUGCGGAUUUAUCUGUACGGCUCUGGGUCUCAAGCCCUCGUCAAUGUCGGCAGUAACUAUAACUGUCUUAAAGUAGGUAGCGCUGCUUUAAUAAAAUCUGGCUAUAUGCUGGAAAGUCUGUGGAUAAAAAAUCCUGGAGUAUUUGGUGCUACUAAGGUAUACUUAUCCUUAAGUAUGAUUAGUAAAAAUGCAUCCAAUGCAGACAAUCAGCAGGAAAGGCAAGAUUAUUAUUUGGGAUGGAUAACUGGUUUUGUUGACGGAGAAGGAUGUUUUUCGGUGGGAGUUUUUAGAAACCGGAUAUUAAAAAGCGGAUGGCAAGUUUUUCCUGAAUUUGUUAUAACGCAAGGCGAAAAAAGUUUAUAUGCGCUCAAGGAAUUACAAAAUUUCUUCAGUUGCGGAAAAAUUUUCGUCAAUAAUCGUUAUGACAAUCAUCGAGAACCGCUAUACCGUUACUGUGUUAGAUCUAUUAAAGAUAUCCGUGAAAAAAUUAUUCCCUUUUUCCAAAAAUAUCCACUUCGUACCGCAAAACAAAGCGAUUUUAUCAGAUUUACAAAAAUCAUAGGUAUGAUGGAACAAAAAAUUCAUCUGACUGCUAUAGGAAUGAAGAAGAUCGCGAAAAUUGUGGAGCAAAUGAAUCGCAAGAAACCAUCUAAAUAUCUUGAAUCCUCAGAGACUAUACGCCAGACCAAGCACUCAAGGCGCUAAGUGCAUUGGAAGAUAUAGUCCGAUCUCCAUGGCGACAUGGAGGAUUCUGUCUAAAUUUUGUUCUGCAAAACUUAGACAGGUGAUAACGUAAUUGAGCGCAAUUCCUUUUCGGGUAAGUUCCGAAGCGCACGAAAGGCGUAACGACUGGGGGACUGUCUCAACGAGGAGCUCGGUGAAAAUACAAUACCGGUGAAGAUGCCGGUUACCUGUAGUUAGACGAAAAGACCCCGGAAGCUUUACUGCAGCUUGGUAUUGAGUCUAAGGUUUUGUUGCGUAGCAUAGAGAGGAGGCGAUGAUAUCCUGUUUCUGGAUGGGAUGGAGCCGCCAGUGAAAUACUCUUCUAUAAAAUUUUAGAUUCUAACUCUCUUGGAAGCGGGUUUUUGGUUUUUUAAUUAUUUUAGAAAUCAAAAACCCGUAAACCAAGAGAAGACAGUGCCUGGUGGGCAGUUUGUGUGGGGCACAUUCCUCCCAAAAAGUAAUGGAGGAGUCUAUUAAGGUCGGCUUGGCUCCGAUGGAAACGGAGCUGGACGCGUAAAGGCAAAAGCCGGCUUAACUGCAAGACGGAUAUGUCGCGCAGGUGCGAAAGCAGAGCUUAGUGAACCGAUGGUGCUUGCUAGAAUAUGGCCAAAGAUCAUCAGACAAAAGCUACUCCGGGGAUAACAGGCUAGUUCCGCCCGAGCGUCCCUAGCGACGGCGGAGUUCGGCACCUUAACAAAUCGGGGUGCUAUGCGAGUAAUCGCAUAUAGCCAAUCUUAUUAUUCAAGCGAUAG